AACGAACCUCUUUGGAUUAACUGUUCAGCCAGACGGUGACGGUCUACUGUCGUUUAGGGUUUAAUACUCCACCGAUAUUUUACCAACACGUUAGUCGGCUAUCUGCAUGUUAUUAAUAUAUUAUCAUUUUUAUAUCAAUACUGAUUAAUGAUUACAUAGCAUUAUGCAUGACAAAUAUGUAAAUGUCAUAGCAAUAUGUGCAUUUAACAUAAUAAAUAAUAAUUAAUAUUACAAUACUCUUGGCUUUCCUAUUCGUCUACUUUUUAAUUUUAUCUGUUUUUACAAAUUUAUUUUGAAAUUAGUCACGACUCCGUGUCUCCGUGGAUCUUAAUAUCUAUCAACAUUAAAUUAGCCUAUUAAGAACUUAAGAUCACUUAAGAUAUUGUUUAAUUUUCAAGUGUUUCUAGUUCAUCCAAAGAUGUUUUAUGAAGAUUCAAUGACAACAUUUUGGAUCUAAUAGACAUGCCAUUUGUCAAUAUUGUAGCAACAGUUAUUUGAAUAUCUGCUGGGAGGGACAAAAUACGUGUUAUUGAUUCAAAAAUAAGAAUACUUAAAAUAAAUGUAUUUGAUAGCUUUGUAACACAAAUACUGUCCAUGUUAUGGUCCUCUAAAAAAAAUAAAAAUAAGCACAUAUAAGUGGCUUGAAAUCAAUUUUAAUUAUAUACAAAUAAAAUAUAUAAUUACUUAAAUUAAGGAAGUUCAAAGAUAAAUCAUCUCAUGUAUCUGAAAAAUGAAGUCAUUGUUAAUUUUUAUCUA